rnacentral:rRNA from 1 species
UGUAUGAGGGUAAACCCGGGGAACUGAAACAUCUAAGUACCCGGAGGAAGAGAAAGAAAAAUCGAUUUCCUAAGUAGCGGCGAGCGAACGGGAAAGAGCCCAAACCAGAAACUUGUUUCUGGGGUUGCGGAUAGAUCAUAAAAGAAGAGGUAUCUUAAUCGAAGAGGGCUGGAACGCCCUACCAUAGAAGGUAAUAGUCCUGUAGGUAAAAAGAGAAAACUUCGAGAUCUAAUCCAGAGUACCACGAGACACGUG